GGUACCGUAAAAUUAGUGGCGGACGGGUGAGUACACGUGGGAACUUGCCUUUAGGUUCGGAAUAACUCAGGGAAACUUGUGCUAAUACCGAAUGUGCCCUUCGGGGGAAAGAUUUAUCGCCUUUAGAGCGGCCCGCGUCUGAUUAGCUAGUUGGUGAGGUAAAGGCUCACCAAGGCGACGAUCAGUAGCUGGUCUGAGAGGAUGAUCAGCCACAUUGGGACUGAGACACGGCCCAAACUCCUACGGGAGGCAGCAGUGGGGAAUCUUGCGCAAUGGGCGAAAGCCUGACGCAGCCAUGCCGCGUGAAUGAUGAAGGUCUUAGGAUUGUAAAAUUCUUUCAGUAGGGACGAUAAUGACGGUACCUACAGAAGAAGCCCCGGCUAACUUCGUGCCAGCAGCCGCGGUAAUACGAAGGGGGCUAGCGUUGCUCGGAAUUACUGGGCGUAAAGGGAGCGUAGGCGGACAUUUAAGUCAGGGGUGAAAUCCCGGGGCUCAACCUCGGAAUUGCCUUUGAUACUGG
rnacentral:rRNA from 1 species